rnacentral:tRNA from 1 species
GACCCCAUCGUCUAGCCCGGUUAGGACAUCGCCCUUUCACGGCGACAGCGCCGGUUCAAAUCCGGCUGGGGUCG